rnacentral:rRNA from 1 species
AAGGGUUUGGCUGUUCGCCAAUUAAAGCGGUACGUGAGCUGGGUUCAGAACGUCGCGAGACAGUUCGGUCCCUAUCUGCCAUGGGCGUUGGUUGCUUGAGAGGAGCUGUUCCUAGUACGAGAGGACCGGAAUGGACGAACCUCUGGUGUACCUGUUAUCCUGCCAAGGGUAGGCGCAGGGUAGCCAAGUUCGGAAGGGAUAACCGCUGAAAGCAUCUAAGUGGGAAACCCACCUCAAGAUGAGGCAACCCCGGGGAUUCAAUCCCCCUGAAGGUACCUGGGAGAGAACCAGGUUGAUAGGCUGGAAGUGGAAGCGCGGCAACGCGUGCAGCUGACCAGUACUAAUUUACCGUGAGGCUUGACCAU